rnacentral:rRNA from 1 species
AGGACGAACGCUGGCGGCGUGCUUAACACAUGCAAGUCGAGCGGAAAGGCCCUUCGGGGUACUCGAGCGGCGAACGGGUGAGUAACACGUGAGUAAUCUGCCCCUAGCUCUGGGAUAGCUCCGGGAAACCGGGAUUAAUACCGGAUACGACCACUUUAGACAUCUGUUGUGGUUGAAAGAAUUUCGGCUAGGGAUGAACUCGCGGCCUAUCAGCUUGUUGGUGAGGUAACGGCCCACCAAGGCGACGACGGGUAGCCGGCCUGAGAGGGCGACCGGCCACACUGGGACUGAGACACGGCCCAGACUCCUACGGGAGGCAGCAGUGGGGAAUAUUGCGCAAUGGGCGAAAGCCUGACGCAGCGACGCCGCGUGGGGGAUGAAGGCCUUCGGGUUGUAAACCCCUUUCAGCAGGGACGAAGCGAAAGUGACGGUACCUGCAGAAGAAGCGCCGGCUAACUACGCGCCAGCAGCCGC